rnacentral:rRNA from 1 species
UACGAAGGGGCGAGCGUUGUUCGGAUUUACUGGGCGUAAAGGGCGCGCAGGCGGCGCAUUUUGUCAGGCGUGAAAGCCCCGGGCUUAACCUGGGAACUGCGUUUGAUACGGAUGGGCUAGAGUUCGGGAGAGGAGAGUGGAAUUCCCAGUGUAGAGGUGGAAAUUCGUAGAUAUUGGGAAGAACACCGGUGGCGAAGGCGGCUCUCUGGACCGAGACUGACGCUGAGGCGCGAAAGCCGUGGGGAGCAA